rnacentral:rRNA from 1 species
CUUGGUCAUUUAGAGGAAGUAAAAGUCGUAACAAGGUCUCCGUAGGUGAACCUGCGGAGGGAUCAUUACACAAAUAUGAAGGCGGGCUGGAACCUCUCGGGGUUACAGCCUUGCUGAAUUAUUCACCCUUGUCUUUUGCGUACUUCUUGUUUCCUUGGUGGGUUCGCCCACCACUAGGACAAACAUAAACCUUUUGUAAUUGCAAUCAGCGUCAGUAACAAAUUAAUAAUUACAACUUUCAACAACGGAUCUCUUGGUUCUGGCAUCGAUGAAGAACGCAGCGAAAUGCGAUAAGUAGUGUGAAUUGCAGAAUUCAGUGAAUCAUCGAAUCUUUGAACGCACAUUGCGCCCUUUGGUAUUCCAAAGGGCAUGCCUGUUCGAGCGUCAUUUGUACCCUCAAGCUUUGCUUGGUGUUGGGCGUCUUGUCUCUAGCUUUGCUGGAGACUCGCCUUAAAGUAAUUGGCAGCCGGCCUACUGGUUUCGGAGCGCAGCACAAGUCGCACUCUCUAUCAGCAAAGGUCUAGCAUCCAUUAAGCCUUUUUUU